rnacentral:rRNA from 1 species
AUUGAACGCUGGCGGCAUGCCUUACACAUGCAAGUCGAACGGCAGCACGGACUUCGGUCUGGUGGCGAGUGGCGAACGGGUGAGUAAUGUAUCGGAACGUACCUUUCAGUGGGGGAUAACGUAGCGAAAGUUACGCUAAUACCGCAUAUUCUGUGAGCAGGAAAGCAGGGGAUCGCAAGACCUUGCGCUGAUUGAGCGGCCGAUAUCAGAUUAGCUAGUUGGUGGGGUAAAGGCCUACCAAGGCUACGAUCUGUAGCGGGUCUGAGAGGAUGAUCCGCCACACUGGAACUGAGACACGGUCCAGACUCCUACGGGAGGCAGCAGUGGGGAAUUUUGGACAAUGGGGGCAACCCUGAUCCAGCCAUGCCGCGUGAGCGAAGAAGGCCUUCGGGUUGUAAAGCUCUUUCGGCCGGGAAGAAAUCGCAUCAGCUAAUACCUGGUGUGGAUGACGGUACCGGAAUAAGAAGCACCGGCUAACUACGUGCCAGCAGCCGCGGUAAUACGUAGGGUGCGAGCGUUAAUCGGAAUUACUGGGCGUAAAGCGUGCGCAGGCGGUUGUGUAAGACAGGCGUGAAAUCCCCGGGCUCAACCUGGGAACUGCGCUUGUGACUGCACAGCUAGAGUACGGCAGAGGGGGGUGGAAUUCCACGUGUAGCAGUGAAAUGCGUAGAGAUGUGGAGGAACACCGAUGGCGAAGGCAGCCCCCUGGGCCGAUACUGACGCUCAUGCACGAAAGCGUGGGUAGCAAACAGGAUUAGAUACCCUGGUAGUCCACGCCCUAAACGAUGUCAACUAGGUGUUGGGUGGGUAAAACCAUUUAGUACCGUAGCUAACGCGUGAAGUUGACCGCCUGGGGAGUACGGCCGCAAGGUUAAAACUCAAAGGAAUUGACGGGGACCCGCACAAGCGGUGGAUGAUGUGGAUUAAUUCGAUGCAACGCGAAAAACCUUACCUACCCUUGACAUGUCCAGAAGCCCGAAGAGAUUUGGGUGUGCCCGAAAGGGAACUGGAACACAGGUGCUGCAUGGCUGUCGUCAGCUCGUGUCGUGAGAUGUUGGGUUAAGUCCCGCAACGAGCGCAACCCUUGUCGUUAAUUGCCAUCAUUUGGUUGGGCACUUUAACGAGACUGCCGGUGACAAACCGGAGGAAGGUGGGGACGACGUCAAGUCCUCAUGGCCCUUAUGGGUAGGGCUUCACACGUCAUACAAUGGUCGGUACAGAGGGUUGCCAAGCCGCGAGGUGGAGCCAAUCCCAGAAAGCCGAUCGUAGUCCGGAUUGCAGGCUGCAACUCGCCUGCAUGAAGUCGGAAUCGCUAGUAAUCGCGGAUCAGCAUGUCGCGGUGAAUACGUUCCCGGGUCU